GACGGGGGGGGCAAGUGUUCUUCGGAAUGACUGGGCGUAAAGGGCACGUAGGCGGUGAAUCGGGUUGAAAGUUAAAGUCGCCAAAAACUGGUGGAAUGCUCUCGAAACCAAUUCACUUGAGUGAGACAGAGGAGAGUGGAAUUUCGUGCGUAGGGGUGAAAUCCGCAGAUCUACGAAGGAACGCCAAAAGCGAAGGCAGCUCUCUGGGUCCCUACCGACGCUGGAGUGCGAAAGCAUGGGGAGCGAACGGG
rnacentral:rRNA from 1 species